rnacentral:tRNA from 1 species
GGUGAGUAUAGCUCAGAGGUAGAGCUCCGGAUUGUGGUUCCGGCUGUCGUGGGUUCGAGCCCCACUACUCACCC